GAUGAACGCUGGCGGCGUGCCUAAUACAUGCAAGUCGAGCGAACAGACGAGGAGCUUGCUCCUCUGACGUUAGCGGCGGACGGGUGAGUAACACGUGGAUAACCUACCUAUAAGACUGGGAUAACUUCGGGAAACCGGAGCUAAUACCGGAUAAUAUAUUGAACCGCAUGGUUCAAUAGUGAAAGACGGUUUUGCUGUCACUUAUAGAUGGAUCCGCGCCGCAUUAGCUAGUUGGUAAGGUAACGGCUUACCAAGGCGACGAUGCGUAGCCGACCUGAGAGGGUGAUCGGCCACUGGAACUGAGACACGGUCCAGACUCCUACGGGAGGCAGCAGUAGGGAAUCUUCCGCAAUGGGCGAAAGCCUGACGGAGCAACGCCGCGUGAGUGAUGAAGGUCUUCGGAUCGUAAAACUCUGUUAUUAGGGAAGAACAAAUGUGUAAGUAACUAUGCACGUCUUGACGGUACCUAAUCAGAAAGCCACGGCUAACUACGUG
rnacentral:rRNA from 1 species